AAAUCCAAAUGCGUGGAAAGUUCUGCCCCUGUCAUAGGUUUUUUCCCAACUUUACUUCUCUUUGGCUUUCAGGACCUUAGAAACUAGCACUGCAUGGAGAAGAUGAGGGCCAUACUAGUAGCCCUCAAUUGCAAUGCAUGCACAGGAGGCAAGGGAGAGAUGAUGCAGUGACCCUCUCUACAGUGCUCCAGAUGUGUUUGUUCCAUGGAUUUGAAUAAAGAAAGUGUGAUCUGACAAUGCCAUU
rnacentral:lncRNA from 11 species